ACAAACUGAGGGUUGCUGGAGGGGUUGUGGGAGGGGGGAUGGGCUAAAUGGGUGAUGGGGAUUAAGGAAACACUUGUGACGAGCACUGGCUAUUGUAUGUAAGUGGUAAAUUGCUACAUCCUACACCUGAAAUAAACAUUGCAUUGUAUGUUAACUAAAUGGAAUUUACAUAAAAACUUAGAAGAAAGAAAAA